CUAUGCUAUCAGAGGCCAUAUGAGGACAGGAAAACGUUGUUUGGUUGUUCAAACCAGGUCGGAGCUUAAAACCUGAGUGGUAUCACUCGACACCGCUGCUUGAUUGCGGAUUUCUGAGCCUUAAAUUCUGACUGUAUUACACGUUAGAUCACUCACCGAGGCUUUUAUAAGCUAUCGAUAGCUGUACGAGAACAGGAAAACGUCGUACGGUUGUUGCAACUUGAUCGGAGCUUAAAACCUGAGGGGUAUCAUUCGUAACUGCUGCUUGACUGCAGGGUUUUGAGCGCUAAAUUCUAAGUGUAUUACACGUUAAAUCACUCACUGAGGCUUUUAUAAGCUAUCGAAAGCUGUACGAGAACAGGAAAACGUCGUACGGUUGUUGCAACUUGAUCGGAGCUUAAAACCUGAGGGGUAUCAUUCGUAACUGCUGCUUGACUGCAGGGUUUUGAGCGCUAAAUUCUAAGUGUAUUACACGUUAAAUCACUCACUGAGGCUUUUAUAAGCUAUCGAAAGCUGUACGAGAACAGGAAAACGUCGUACGGUUGUUGCAACUUGAUCGGAGCUUAAAACCUGAGGGGUAUCAUUCGUAACUGCUGCUUGACUGCAGGGUUUUGAGCGCUAAAUUCUAAGUGUAUUACACGUUAAAUCACUCACUGAGGCUUUUAUAAGCUAUCGAUAGCUGUACGAGAACAGGAAAACGUCGUACGGUUGUUGCAACUUGAUCGGAGCUUAAAACCUGAGGGGUAUCAUUCGUAACUGCUGCUUGACUGCAGGGUUUUGAGCGCUAAAUUCUAACUGUAUCACACGUUAAAUCACUCACUGAGGCUUUUAUAAGCUAUCGAUAGCUGUACGAGAACAGGAAAACGUCGUACGGUUGUUGCAACUUGAUCGGAGCUUAAAACCUGAGGGGUAUCAUUCGUAACUGCUGCUUGACUGCAGGGUUUUGAGCGCUAAAUUCUAACUGUAUCACACGAUAAAUCACUCACUGAGGCUUGUAUAAGCUAUAGAAACUUGCACGAGAACAGGAAAACGUCGUUCGGCUGUUGUAAUUUGGUCGGCGCUUAAAACCUGAGGGGUAUCAUUCGUAACUGCUACUUCACCGCAGGGGUUUGAGCCCUAAAUUCUAACUGUAUCACACGUUAAAUCACUCACUGAGGCUAUUUAUAAGCUAUCGAAGACUAUAUGAGAACAGAUAUACGUUUUUUGAUUGUCCAAAUUUGAUCGGAGUAUCAUUCGGCACUGUUGCCUGUAAAUCUUCCGAAAUUGAACUUAUUUAACGGAUUUCACCACAGCUGAAACAGGGCGCGAAUGUUUCACUAAAAAUUCGGGAGUACAAACAUCAAGGAACUAAAAUUACUUACCUCCAUGUGGUAAUUAGCAUGGAACAAGAAGCACAACACACACACGUCCACCUACGACAGCGCGAAACCGACGACUGAGAACAAUUGAUGUCUUCAUGCGCUGACCAGGGCACUACAUUCAUAGCCACCGCCGCCGAGGCGUACGAACACAACGAAUGAUACCCCUCAGGAUCUAGCCUGCAGGGUUUUGAGCGCUAAAUUCUAACUGUAUCACACGAUAAAUCACUCACUGAGGCUUGUAUAAGCUAUAGAAACUUGCACGAGAACAGGAAAACGUCGUUCGGCUGUUGUAAUUUGGUCGGCGCUUAAAACCUGAGGGGUAUCAUUCGUAACUGCUACUUCACCGCAGGGGUUUGAGCCCUAAAUUCUAACUGUAUCACACGUUAAAUCACUCACUGAGGCUAUUUAUAAGCUAUCGAAGACUAUAUGAGAACAGAUAUACGUUUUUUGAUUGUCCAAAUUUGAUCGGAGUAUCAUUCGGCACUGUUGCCUGUAAAUCUUCCGAAAUUGAACUUAUUUAACGGAUUUCACCACAGCUGAAACAGGGCGCGAAUGUUUCACUAAAAAUUCGGGAGUACAAACAUCAAGGAACUAAAAUUACUUACCUCCAUGUGGUAAUUAGCAUGGAACAAGAAGCACAACACACACACGUCCACCUACGACAGCGCGAAACCGACGACUGAGAACAAUUGAUGUCUUCAUGCGCUGACCAGGGCACUACAUUCAUAGCCACCGCCGCCGAGGCGUACGAACACAACGAAUGAUACCCCUCAGGAUCUAGCGCCUCCCGUGAGACGGUCGCCUACUGCAACAAUGCAACUGCAUGCUUAAUUGUUUUAGCAUUGGUUGCGUGCGCGUGAGGUAUCUUCACGCCUUCUUCGCUCGGCGACCAAUGAUAGCUUGCAAGCGAAGUAAUGCACGCAUUACUUCAUCGAGAAUAGCUCCCCAGGUCUGUGUUGUAUUCCCAUCCUGCACUUACAACACUUUGUUCACUUCGACCAACACCGUGUCACCGUCCUGCACCUUCCCUCGAAUGUCGCACGUGGCCCUACACUCCGAGCACUCGGCCUCGUGUUCAACUGAGAUGCAACGAGAAGAUAAACUUGAAAGGCUGCACACGUUAAUACUGAAGCCAGUAUGAGAAGGAUGGAACCUGUUCUGAGCGGGACACAAAAGAAGAUAAUCCAGAGGCCAACCUUUCAGUGAGAAGACUUGACAAGCAACAACCUUAUGACAAAGUUAGAAACACUAAAUAAGUCAUGAAACAAGUGCAUCUCUAAAUCUCGUAAUUAACCAUUGCAGUUGAGCUCAGAUUUGCGAACAGGACGAAAAUUUUGGGAGGGCCUUAUUCACUGUGUGAAUGACUUCACUGGAGUAACCCAAAGCAGAACGUCAACAUUGCAUAACAUGUGGGACUCAGUCUUAAGUAAGUUACUUCUAAAACGUAUAGUAACUAAGUUACAGCUAUAGUUACUUUCUUGGUCGAGUAACUAGUUACAAUUACUGAGAGAAAAUAACUUAGUGACAUGACAGUUACUUUUUAUAAAAAUGAUGACCAUGAGAGGGUGAUACAAUUGUUAAAAACAUACAUUUAUUUACAUUUACUGAAGUGCGAUAAAAGUUGUCUGGCACUUAACGAGAAGCAUAUAAGGUAAUACGCGGUUAUCCCACACGGAAAAAUACGACAUGUGCAUGCAACUUGGCGCAUCGCGGUGAAGAAGAAGAGCACGGUGACACGCACGCGUUUCGUACCGUGUAGAGAGACAUACACAAGAACAAGGAACUCUCCUCAAGAUGCUUUUUCAGGUUUGAAGUUGACGUCCUGUUUGCCGGUACGUCUUAUUCCAUAGCGUGCACAUUGCAAUUAAAUUAUUCUCGUCCUUCCGUGAUAAAAACUCAAAGGUUGCUUCACAUAGCAGCCACGGAAGCUUAGGAUAGCAACAACCGGGGCCGGAAUAGCCAUUGCACUGGUCGGAGUGUAAGUGAGCUGACCGGAAAGUUUCUCUUUGUGUAUAAUCAUUCCUUUGUCCAUAUCCACCGAAGGCAGGAUCCCAUGCAAGGGCAGUGACACUGUUAUUUACAUAUGACUCACUCCGAACGUUGAGGGUCACUAACUUCAAGGAAUUUCUGUUCGCAAAGUUGGAAUUCCCUGCUUGGUCAAGAUCUCAAGGCAGGGGGCACAUACCAAUUACGGAUAAAAGGAAGGAAGACACUGUUAGGGGGAAGUAGGGGAAGGUAGGGGGGAAAAAGGAACGACAUUUAUUCGAGUAUCUAGUUACAUUUUGCAGUUACAUUCACAGAAAUAGUAACUAGUUACAGUUAAAAGCUACUUCUCUGGAAAUGUAACUAGUUACUGUAACUAAUUACCCCCAAAAGUAACUAGUUACAGUUACAAGUUAAAAGUAACUUAGUUACUACCCAAUACUGGAUCAAGUCAUGCCUGCCAAAUACUGAUUACACUUGGUAUAAUUCUAUAACUGUAUUGGUUAUGUGUAGUAUAGCGAGCUAUCUUUAAUAUGACCGUAACCGUUUCCGUGAAGGGAUGAUUGCCAUAUUUGCAUCGCCCCUGGCCGCGGAAUGUCGAACGUCGUGUCUUUCCCCCAGUAAACAUGACACUUUUCAGACUGGCACGUUGCGUGGGAAAGUAGCAAGAGAAGAUUUGAAGAAGAAUGCAGAAAGAGUGAAGUCACAUUGUACUCAUUACCAGACCUCAAACAUUUGCAUAACCUUGAAACUGACUAUCUCCCCCAAUGAGCAUGACAGUCGCCCGCAGGUGGCUGCACAUGCCCAUACGCUUACUCGGAAAAGGUCCAGUUUGGUCAAAAAGUGGAUUACCAUACUAACCAACAGCAUACGUCACAAACACCUAGUGCAGCACCUUUGUGUCACGGAGCGAUGACUAACAUAACUGCUUUUUGUUGCUUGUCAUCCGGUUCGUUGUAACGUUUAUUCAAUUCUGUCUGAAAUCAGCCCGGCAGCUUAGGUCUGCAUCACUCUUGAUUAUCUCAAGAUAAGGAGCACAUCUGUAGGUCAGGAAAACGACGCAUUCAACAGCUAGCAGUUACAUUAAUGAGGGAAAAGUAGACAUAUUUUCCUAUAUUCCUCUAGAAAACAUCGGUCAUAGAUACAGGAAUGGUCAUAAUUAAGCAGAAGGAUUUACGCAGCAAAGGAAUGGUUCCCAUGGGAAGUGGUCAUAAACCGUGCAUGUCAUAAUCACAAGUGUCAUUAGCAACCCGAGAAUGCAUGACAGAGUAAAUAUUUUUAAUAUUUAUUAUCAUACAAGUGCCACUUUUCCAGUCGACGGGGUCGUCUUAUUAAUUGGACCAUGUAUGGUGUCAUUUUUAGGGAUCCAUGUUGUCCACAUCGACUGACAGCAGGUUACAUCGACUGGUGUAUAUUGUCAGAUUUUCCUUUUUUCAGAGAGCAUUUGUCUGUACUUUCCUUUUUUGUAACUUUUGUACCUUUCUGUAAUAUAAAGUUUACAAAACCAA